AUUGAACGCUGGCGGCAUGCUUUACGCAUGCAAGUCGAACGGUAACAGGCCUUCGGGUGCUGACGAGUGGCGAACGGGUGAGUAAUGCAUCGGAACGUGCCCAGAGGUGGGGGAUAACGCAGCGAAAGCUGUGCUAAUACCGCAUGUGAUCUGAGGAUGAAAGCGGGGGACCAGGCAGCAAUGUUUGGCCUCGCGCCUUUGGAGCGGCCGAUGUCAGAUUAGGUAGUUGGUGGGGUAAAGGCCUACCAAGCCGACGAUCUGUAGCUGGUCUGAGAGGACGACCAGCCACACUGGGACUGAGACACGGCCCAGACUCCUACGGGAGGCAGCAGUGGGGAAUUUUGGACAAUGGGCGCAAGCCUGAUCCAGCAAUGCCGCGUGCGGGAAGAAGGCCUUCGGGUUGUAAACCGCUUUUGUACGGAACGAAAAGGCUCUGGCUAAUACCUGGGGCUGAUGACGGUACCGUAAGAAUAAGCACCGGCUAACUACGUG
rnacentral:rRNA from 1 species